rnacentral:rRNA from 1 species
AGGAAGGAAGAAGCAAGAAAAUUGCAUAAAGAGCAGGUAGAGCCAGCCCUCCUUACACAUGAAGGAAGGUCUUACAAUGCUUUGUUUAAGCAUAGGCCGAACUACACAAAGUUCUGUGGUGCUCUGGACGACCUUUCUUCUCACGAUUUUGACCAUGUUCACUAUUGUGUCUACUCUAAGGAUAUUGAGCUUACCUACAACCAGACACGAUUCUUUCUACAACGCCUUUUCAGAGAUACUUUCAUCCGUUGUCGUCCAUUUGUACACGUCUUGACUCCCACUAACACCAAAGAAUGCAUCAUGAAAAUUCCGAGCGUUGUCUCAACACUGAAGAGAUGGGUGGACAUGCCAACCAAUGGCACGGUGACCCUUGAAGCUCCUGAUGAACCUACCCAUGUCAUCACUCCUUCGUCGUACUACAUCUGCAAAAACGACGGUCGAAUGGUAAUAGAAAAGUCUUCUUUCAGAGACUUCAUAUCAGCUGCAUCCUUUGUUGAAAAGAACGUCGUUCUAAUCACUUUCAAAGAGUGCCAUGAUGGUUCUGUGUCCAUCAUCAUUCAACGCAUUGUGUAG